rnacentral:rRNA from 1 species
GAUGAACGCUGGCGGCGUGCCUAACACAUGCAAGUCGAGCGAAGCGAUUUAGCGGAAGUUUUCGGAUGGAAGUUAAAUUGACUGAGCGGGCGACGGGUGAAGGUACGCGUAGGUAACCUGCCUCAUACAGGGGGAUAACAGUUAGAAAUGACUGCUAAUACCGCAUAAGCGCACAGCAUCGCAUGAUGCAGUGUGAAAAACUCCGGUGGUAUGAGAUGGACCCGCGUUGGAUUAGCUAGUUGGUGGGGUAACGGCCCACCAAGGCACGAUCCAAUAGCCGGCCUGAGAGGGUGAACGGCCACAUUGGGACUGAGACACGGCCCAG